AGCUAAAUAAUCUAAAUAAGAUACUAAAUUGCAAAUUUAAUAAUAAUAUAAAUAUAAAUAUUUUUAGCUU
rnacentral:tRNA from 1 species